rnacentral:antisense_RNA from 1 species
ACCGAGCUGAGAAAUGCCAGUGUCGGCCAUGCUGGCCACAUGUAGGAUGGAGCAGGAUCCCCAGCCACCCAUGCGAGGCCACCCCCUUCCUGGGGGUCCUUGUUCAGAGGGGCACCGACAACUAACUGGCUGAACGAGCUGUCUGAUGACAUCUUGGAACCCUGACCAUAAAGGUGCAGGACCUGGCCACAUGCGCCUGUGCCGGGGAGGGCAGAACGCUGGUGCCUGGCACAGGUGCCACAACACAUACAGUGUUGGGGCGCCAUCUUGGAAGCAGAGAUCCGGCCUCACCAGACACCAAGCCUGCUGGUACCGUGACCCUGGACUCCCAGCCUCCACAGCUGGGAAAGACCUCUGCUCCCUGGAAAUUACCCAGGCUCAGCCCACCCUCGCACACUCAUUCACUGGCCCACCCCUUAGGUGUGUGCUUCUGUGCCAAGACUGAGAUCCAGCUGUCACAACAGGCACCCA